CACGAUCGCAGGAAGGCGGGCUUAGUGGGAGCAGCCUGGGGGACGUCCCACCGUAGAGAGCACACGCCUGGGCACUGGACGGGCGUGAUGAGGAGACAUCGCCACUCCCUCUUUGGGGCUCAGAGAAGGUGGAUCUACUUUGGAUUCACGGCCCCACCCUACCAGACAACGUUGUGGGAUGUGACAGCAGGAAAGACACUUAGCCACUUUGGGCCUCAGUUUCCCAGUCUGAAACGGAUGCGUUGAGCUGAUCCUG